rnacentral:rRNA from 1 species
GUUAAGCGACUAAGCGUACACGGUGGAUGCCCUGGCAGUCAGAGGCGAUGAAGGACGUGCUAAUCUGCGAUAAGCGUCGGUAAGGUGAUAUGAACCGUUAUAACCGGCGAUUUCCGAAUGGGGAAACCCAGUGUGAUUCGUCACACUAUCAUUAACUGAAUCCAUAGGUUAAUGAGGCGAACCGGGGGAACUGAAACAUCUAAGUACCCCGAGGAAAAGAAAUCAACCGAGAUUCCCCCAGUAGCGGCGAGCGAACGGGGAGCAGCCCAGAGCCUGAAUCAGUGUGUGUGUUAGUGGAAGCGUCUGGAAAGGCGCGCGAUACAGGGUGACAGCCCCGUACACAAAAAUGCACAUGCUGUGAGCUCGAUGAGUAGGGCGGGACACGUGGUAUCCUGUCUGAAUAUGGGGGGACCAUCCUCCAAGGCUAAAUACUCCUGACUGACCGAUAGUGAACCAGUACCGUGAGGGAAAGGCGAAAAGAACCCCGGCGAGGGGAGUGAAAAAGAACCUGAAACCGUGUACGUACAAGCAGUGGGAGCACGCUUAGGCGUGUGACUGCGUACCUUUUGUAUAAUGGGUCAGCGACUUAUAUUCUGUAGCAAGGUUAACCGAAUAGGGGAGCCGAAGGGAAACCGAGUCUUAACUGGGCGUUAAGUUGCAGGGUAUAGACCCGAAACCCGGUGAUCUAGCCAUGGGCAGGUUGAAGGUUGGGUAACACUAACUGGAGGACCGAACCGACUAAUGUUGAAAAAUUAGCGGAUGACUUGUGGCUGGGGGUGAAAGGCCAAUCAAACCGGGAGAUAGCUGGUUCUCCCCGAAAGCUAUUUAGGUAGCGCCUCGUGAAUUCAUCUCCGGGGGUAGAGCACUGUUUCGGCAAGGGGGUCAUCCCGACUUACCAACCCGAUGCAAACUGCGAAUACCGGAGAAUGUUAUCACGGGAGACACACGGCGGGUGCUAACGUCCGUCGUGAAGAGGGAAACAACCCAGACCGCCAGCUAAGGUCCCAAAGUCAUGGUUAAGUGGGAAACGAUGUGGGAAGGCCCAGACAGCCAGGAUGUUGGCUUAGAAGCAGCCAUCAUUUAAAGAAAGCGUAAUAGCUCACUGGUCGAGUCGGCCUGCGCGGAAGAUGUAACGGGGCUAAACCAUGCACCGAAGCUGCGGCAGCGACACUGUGUGUUGUUGGGUAGGGGAGCGUUCUGUAAGCCUGCGAAGGUGUGCUGUGAGGCAUGCUGGAGGUAUCAGAAGUGCGAAUGCUGACAUAAGUAACGAUAAAGCGGGUGAAAAGCCCGCUCGCCGGAAGACCAAGGGUUCCUGUCCAACGUUAAUCGGGGCAGGGUGAGUCGACCCCUAAGGCGAGGCCGAAAGGCGUAGUCGAUGGGAAACAGGUUAAUAUUCCUGUACUUGGUGUUACUGCGAAGGGGGGACGGAGAAGGCUAUGUUGGCCGGGCGACGGUUGUCCCGGUUUAAGCGUGUAGGCUGGUUUUCCAGGCAAAUCCGGAAAAUCAAGGCUGAGGCGUGAUGACGAGGCACUACGGUGCUGAAGCAACAAAUGCCCUGCUUCCAGGAAAAGCCUCUAAGCAUCAGGUAACAUCAAAUCGUACCCCAAACCGACACAGGUGGUCAGGUAGAGAAUACCAAGGCGCUUGAGAGAACUCGGGUGAAGGAACUAGGCAAAAUGGUGCCGUAACUUCGGGAGAAGGCACGCUGAUAUGUAGGUGAAGUCCCUCGCGGAUGGAGCUGAAAUCAGUCGAAGAUACCAGCUGGCUGCAACUGUUUAUUAAAAACACAGCACUGUGCAAACACGAAAGUGGACGUAUACGGUGUGACGCCUGCCCGGUGCCGGAAGGUUAAUUGAUGGGGUCAGCGCAAGCGAAGCUCUUGAUCGAAGCCCCGGUAAACGGCGGCCGUAACUAUAACGGUCCUAAGGUAGCGAAAUUCCUUGUCGGGUAAGUUCCGACCUGCACGAAUGGCGUAAUGAUGGCCAGGCUGUCUCCACCCGAGACUCAGUGAAAUUGAACUCGCUGUGAAGAUGCAGUGUACCCGCGGCAAGACGGAAAGACCCCGUGAACCUUUACUAUAGCUUGACACUGAACAUUGAGCCUUGAUGUGUAGGAUAGGUGGGAGGCUUUGAAGUGUGGACGCCAGUCUGCAUGGAGCCGAGCUUGAAAUACCACCCUUUAAUGUUUGAUGUUCUAACGUUGACCCGUGAUCCGGGUUGCGGACAGUGUCUGGUGGGUAGUUUGACUGGGGCGGUCUCCUCCUAAAGAGUAACGGAGGAGCACGAAGGUUGGCUAAUCCUGGUCGGACAUCAGGAGGUUAGUGCAAUGGCAUAAGCCAGCUUGACUGCGAGCGUGACGGCGCGAGCAGGUGCGAAAGCAGGUCAUAGUGAUCCGGUGGUUCUGAAUGGAAGGGCCAUCGCUCAACGGAUAAAAGGUACUCCGGGGAUAACAGGCUGAUACCGCCCAAGAGUUCAUAUCGACGGCGGUGUUUGGCACCUCGAUGUCGGCUCAUCACAUCCUGGGGCUGAAGUAGGUCCCAAGGGUAUGGCUGUUCGCCAUUUAAAGUGGUACGCGAGCUGGGUUUAGAACGUCGUGAGACAGUUCGGUCCCUAUCUGCCGUGGGCGCUGGAGAACUGAGGGGGGCUGCUCCUAGUACGAGAGGACCGGAGUGGACGCAUCACUGGUGUUCGGGUUGUCAUGCCAAUGGCACUGCCCGGUAGCUAAAUGCGGAAGAGAUAAGUGCUGAAAGCAUCUAAGCACGAAACUUGCCCCGAGAUGAGUUCUCCCUGACUCCUUGAGAGUCCUGAAGGAACGUUGAAGACGACGACGUUGAUAGGCCGGGUGUGUAAGCGCAGCGAUGCGUUGAGCUAACCGGUACUAAUGAACCGUGAGG